GAUCCUCUCUCUCUAAUUGUCUGUGACCUCGUAACUGGAGACGUGCUCUCAAGGCAGGAGGAGGGCCUUUCACACGGCAAUCACUUUUGGAUUUGUCCUCUAUGCAACUCCAGAAUACCACUGCCAAAAAGAAAAUGGCACUUUCCGCUGGGACAGGCGAGGUUUGGCUGGGGCUUCAGAAGCGGAUCGCGGCGAGCCUUGCUGGCAGCGGCGGGGGCCGGUCAGUCCCCAGCUCCUCUUCUCCUGGCAGCUGGGAACCGGUGGGAGUUAACGGGCUGUGAUUGCUGGCCAGGACAGAGCCGAGAUCUGUUUCCCAGAGGUAUUUGAUGGGAGAGCCAAAGAGGGAGGAAGUGUGGGUCUGCAGCCCCCGUGUUAACAAUGGCUCUCCUCAGACCCCCGGCCCAGGCCCAGCCAGUCAUGAAACACCAUGGAGAUGUUAUUGACCUCAAGGUUAACUCUCC